rnacentral:rRNA from 1 species
GUAUUAGUUAAGGGCUUGAAACUCAAAAAAUUUGGCGGUAUUUUAGUCUAUUUAGAGGAACCUGUAGUAUAAUCGAUAUUCCACGAUGAACCUCGCUUAAUUUUGUUUUUCAGUUUGUAUACCGCUGUUAUUUGAAAAUUUUAUAAGAAUAUUAAUUUUCAUAAUUUUAUAUUAAAAAGUAAAUCAGGUCAAGGUGCAGCUUAUGAUUAAGAAUUUAUGGGUUACAAUAAAUUUAUUUAUAUGAAUUAGAAUGUGAAAUUAUUUUAUGAAAGUGGAUUUAAUAGUAAAUUUUUAAAGAUAAAAGAAUUGAUU